AACGAACGCUGGCGGCAGGCUUAACACAUGCAAGUCGAGCGCCCCGCAAGGGGAGCGGCAGACGGGUGAGUAACGCGUGGGAACGUACCUUUUGGUUCGGAACAACUCCGGGAAACUGGAGCUAAUACCGGAUAAGCCCUAACGGGGAAAGAUUUAUCGCCGAAAGAUCGGCCCGCGUCUGAUUAGCUAGUUGGUGAGGUAACGGCUCACCAAGGCGACGAUCAGUAGCUGGUCUGAGAGGAUGAUCAGCCACACUGGGACUGAGACACGGCCCAGACUCCUACGGGAGGCAGCAGUGGGGAAUAGUGGACAAUGGGCGCAAGCCUGAUCCAGCCAUGCCGCGUGAGUGAUGAAGGCCUUAGGGUUGUAAAGCUCUUUUGUCCGGGAAGAUAAUGACUGUACCGGAAGAAUAAGCCCCGGCUAACUUCGUG
rnacentral:rRNA from 1 species